rnacentral:rRNA from 1 species
AUUGAACGCUGGCGGCAGGCCUAACACAUGCAAGUCGAACGAGUGGCGGACGGGUGAGUAGUGUGUGGGAAACUGCCUGAUAGGGGGGGAUAACUACUGGAAACGGUAGCUAAUCCCGCAUACCAGCAGGUGUCCACAGAUGGGGUUAGAUUGGUGGUGGGGUAACGGCUCACCAUGGCGACGAUCCCUAUCUGGUUUGAGAGGAUGACCAGCCACACUGGGACUGAGACACGGUCCAGACUCCUACGGGAGGCAGCAGUGGGGAAUAUUGCACAAUGGGCGCAAGCCUGAUGCAGCCAUGCCGCGUGUAUGAAGAAGGCCGUCGGGUUGUAAAGUACUUUCAGCGGGGAGGCGUUACCCGCAGAAGAAGCACCGGCUAACUCCGUGCCAGCAGCCGCGGUAAUUC